UACGAAGGGGGCGAGCGUUGUUCGGAUUUACUGGGCGUAAAGGGCGCGCAGGCGGCUCAUUUUGUCAGGCGUGAAAGCCCCGGGCUUAACCUGGGAACUGCGUUUGAUACGGAUGGGCUAGAGUUCGGGAGAGGAGAGUGGAAUUCCCAGUGUAGAGGUGAAAUUCGUAGAUAUUGGGAAGAACACCGGUGGCGAAGGCGGCUCUCUGGACCGAUACUGACGCUGAGACGCGAAAGCGUGGGGAGCGAACAGG
rnacentral:rRNA from 1 species